UGGCGAACUGGUGAGUAACACGUGGGUAACCUGCCCAGAAGAAGGGGAUAACACCUGGAAACAGAUGCUAAUACCGUAUAACAACAAGAACCACAUGGUUCUUGUUUGAAAGCUGGCCUUUGUGCUAGUGCUUCUGGAUGGACCCGCGGCGUAUUAGCUAGUUGGUGAGAUAAUAGCUCACCAAGGCGAUGAUACGUAGCAGACCUGAGAGGGUAAUCUGCCACAAUGGGACUGAGACACGGCCCAUACUCCUACGGGAGGCAGCAGUAGGGAAUCUUCCACAAUGGACGAAAGUCUGAUGGAGCAACGCCGCGUGAGUGAAGAAGGGUUUCGGCUCGUAAAACUCUGUUGUUAGAGAAGAACAGCCGUGAGAGCAACUGCUCACGGUAUGACGGUAUCUAACCAGAAAGUCACGGCUAACUACGUGCCAGCAGCCGCGGUAAUACGUAGGUGGCAAACGUUGUCCGGAUUUAUUGGGCGUAAAGGGAGCGCAGGCGGUUUAUUAAGUCUGAUGU
rnacentral:rRNA from 1 species